UGUAUUUCCACUCUCUUAGUCAAUUCAUGCUUUACAUAAACAAUUGUGGUUUGACCGCUAACAACCGGUUCGGUGUCGUUUCGCUUCAAAUUACACCCACUCACACACAAACUCGGGCAGUUUGAGCAAAAGGGCCCCCACACCACUAAGUUUUUCUCUCUUGCCUCUUGUUGCCUCCGUGGGCCAACUAGAUAUGAAUAAGA
ensembl:ncRNA K03A11.9 ncRNA